rnacentral:miRNA from 1 species
AUGGCCUAAUCCAAAGCUGAUUCAAAUCAAUGGGAGUCUGUCCAUUGACAUCAGCGUGGUUUGGAUCAAACCUUUCAUUC